rnacentral:rRNA from 1 species
AGUACGCUAUGGCGGCAGGCCUAACACAUUUGCAAGUCGUACGAGUAAGGUUGCUCUUCCGGGAACUGGAGAGUGGCGCACGAGGUGAGUAUCGCGUGGGGGACCUACCUCUUAGUGGGGGAUGAUCGGUUGGAAACGACCGCUACAUACCGCAUACGCCCUUCGGGGGAAAGAUCUAUCGCUAAGAGAUGGACCCGCGUUGGAUUAGAUAGUUGGUGAGGUAACGGCUCACCAAGUGCUAGCGAUCCAUAGCUGGUUUGAGAGGAUGAUCAGUCCACACAUGGGACUGAGACACGGCCCAGACUCCUACGGGAGGCAGACAGUGGGGAAUAUGCGGACAAUGGGCAGCUAAUGCCUGAUCCAGGCCAUGCCCGCGUGAGUGAAGAAGCGCCUUCGUGGUUAGUAAAGCUCUUUCAGUAUGCGAAGCAUGAUGACGGUAACAUCAGAGAGUAAGCCCCGGCUAAUUUCGUGCCAGCAGCCGCGGUAAUACGAAAGGGGCAAGCGUACGUUCGGAUCUACUNGGGCGUAAAGUGGCACGCAGGGCGGGUCCGUGCCCAUGUUCAAGGGGGUUCGAAAAGGCUCCUGGGGGGGGCGUCCAAACCAUCCCCGGGGUAAAGACCCUGGCCCCCUUUCCAUUGAAAUUUACCCUUGGGCCAUUGGGGAAACCUUUAAGAAACGAAACGUCAGUGGAAAGAACGGGGGUUGAGUCGGCACAUUUCCAUGNUCGUAGAAGCGUGAAANUGCGCAUGAUAUUUGGGAGGGGAACACUCAUGAUGGCUGAUAGGGCCUGGUCCCACCCCCUGCGGAA